AAUGAAAAGGCAUGAACUUAGCCGCCCAACAACACGGAGCUUUGGUGACUGUCUUUGAGAGAAGCGAAAGCAAGUGUUUGCCUAACUUGCAGGUCGUAAUUUCAGUCGAGUGUACCGUAGUUUGUUAAGCAUGGCAACCAAUUCCAACUCCAGCGCUGGAAUUGAAGUUCACAACACUCUUCAAUCUAUCUGCUACAAGCGCGGCUUCCUACAGCUACUCGACCAGAGAAAGCUUCCUCUCGAAACUGUCUAUCUGGAUAUCCGAGAUGCAUCAGAUGGAUGGUCUGCCAUACGGGAGAUGGUGGUCCGUGGAGCACCUGCUAUUGCUAUUGCAGCAGCCCUCUCUCUUGCAGUAGAAGUGUUUGCUAACUUGGACCAUUUUAAUGGGACUUCUGAGGACGCUGCCUCUUUCCUUUUCAAGAAAUUGGAAUAUCUCGUUUCGAGCCGACCG
rnacentral:misc_RNA from 1 species